GUUCCCUGGUCCAGGCAGCGCUGACUCAGCCCUCAUCAGUGUCAGUGGAGCCAGGAAAGGACGUCCAGAUCACCUGCUCUGGUGGUAGCAGCUGGUAUGGCUGGUUCCAGCAGAAGGUACCAGGCAGUGCCCCUGUCACUGUGAUCUACUACAACGACAAGAGACCCUCGGGCAUCCCUUCGCGAUUCUCCGGGUCUACAUCUGGCUCCACGGGCACGUUAACCAUCACUGGGGUCCAAGCCGAGGACGAGGCCGUCUAUUACUGUGGUGGCUGGGACAGCAGCACUAGUGCUG